GACAGAGGUGCCAAGCGUUAGGCGGAAUCACUGGGCUUAAAGCGCGUGUAGGCGGAUCGUUAAGUACCUUGUGAAAUCCCACGGCUCAACCGUGGAACUGCUCGGUAUACUGGCGGUCUUGAGCCACCUAGGGGCAGCUGGAACAAGCGGUGGAGCGGUGAAAUGCGUAGAGAUCGACAAGAACACCGGUGGCGAAGGCGGGUCUCUGGACAGUUCCUGACGCUGAGGGACGAAAGCUAGGGGAGCAAACGGG
rnacentral:rRNA from 1 species